UGGGGAAUCUUGCGCAAUGCACGACAGUGUGACGCAGCAACGCCGCGUGGGGGAAGAAGGCUUUCGGGUCGUAAACCCCUUUCAGGAGGGACGAAGCUUCGGCAGCGAAUAGCUGUCCGGAGUGACGGUACUUCCAUAAGAAGCCCCGGCUAACUACGUGCCAGCAGCCGCGGUAAUACGUAGGGGGCAAGCGUUGUCCGGAAUCAUUGGGCGUAAAGAGCGCGUAGGCGGCCAGAUAAGUCCGGUGUGAAAGUCACAGGCUCAACCUGUGAAUGCCGCUGGAAACUGUCUGGCUAGAGUCCGGUAGGGGCGAGUGGAAUUCCUGGUGUAGCGGUGAAAUGCGCAGAUAUCAGGAGGAACACCAAUGGCGAAGGCAGCUCGCUGGAACGGUACUGACGCUGAGGCGCGAAAGCGUGGGGAGCAAACA
rnacentral:rRNA from 1 species